GCUGGCGUAGCUCAAUCGGUAGAGCAACUGAUUUGUAAUCAGUAGGUUGGGGGUUCAAUUCCCUUCGCCAGCUCCA
rnacentral:tRNA from 1 species